GUUUUUUUAAUUUAUGAUAGUUUUCUAUGAUUGUGGGACUGCACAAGUGAAGAAAUUAUUUCUUUUUUAUUGAUCCUUGUGCUUUGUGAGUGGCAUUCGCAAGAGAUUCUUGUGCUUUGCUUUGUGAAAUUUUGCAGGGGUUUUUGCUGUCUGUUGUAGGUGGAUUGUCUUGGCCUUGAUGUGUCAAGGGCUGGUGCUGUCUGUGUGGUUCUGGCUGGGGUUGAUGGGGUAUUUUGCUUGGUGACCCAUGGGUAGUGCUGCCUCUGUAUCAGCUGCUGUUGGGUUGCGUAGCCUCUAUUUUCAGCUGCUAAUGGUGUCUGGUUGUUGCUGUUUGGCAAUCGAAGCUGGUGUAUGAUGCUGUGCUGUGGGUGGUCUGGAGGCUGUCCUACUGCUGCCGUUGUUGGUCUGGUAGUUUUGCCGCCUACUGCUGGUUAAUUAUCAAUCUGAUGAUGAAGUGCGAAGGACAAGUACAAGUUAGAAUAGCAUUCAUCCUUUUUUGAUUUUAGAAGCUUAUUUUUACCAGGAAAGUUUGGUAGGGCAGUGGCUCAUUAUUGUUGAUGCAUGUUAAAGACAUUGCAAAUAAAGAUGAUGAAACUGCCGGAGAUAAAAGAUGAAAGUCCUAAGAAAAGGAAGGUUGUACAUGAGGAGUUUGGCAUUGUGAAGGUCUUGAUGACUACCGUUCUGCUACUACUGGUUCUCGCUAAACUUUUUUAGGCUUCAUCUUUCUAAACCUAUGAUCAUGCUCAUCAUUUUAAUGUGAUAGAACCCAUAUAUUCAUUUGAUGAAUGUGGUUAUAUAUUCAUUUGAUGAUUAAUACAAUUGAUUGAUUGGUUGGCAGAAGUGAAG